UAAAAGAUAAGCUAAUUAAGCUUUUGGGUUCAUACCUCAUCUAUAAAGGUCAACUCCUUUUCUUUUUA
rnacentral:tRNA from 1 species